ACGCUCUGGUUUCUCUUCAGACUCCAUAUAUCUUUCGCCUUUUACUAGUGGAGAGGAACGAGUACGAGUCUUAAGAAAUGUUUUGUGGCUCCACUGCGGUGGAGC